ensembl:lncRNA
AUAAUAAAUCCCAAUUAUUACUAAUUUCUUUUACCUGUUGAUCCCAAUUAAAUACCAAAACAUUAGAACUGUGUGUGAGCAUUUGCAAUGGGCAAACAUGGAGAAGGAUAGAGUGGAAGAGAGAGGAAACCUGCAGAGGGAUCAAGAGGUAGACGUAGACCCUGUCAAAGACAAAGAGGUGGGCAAGGGCCUAGACAAAGAGGUGGGCAAGGGCCUAGACAAAGAGGUGGAUAUGGGCCUAGACCAAGAGAUGGGCAUGGGCCUAGACAAAGAGGUGGGCAUGGGCCUAGACAAAGAGGUGGACAUGGGCCUAGACAAAGAGGUGGGCAUGGGCCUAGACAAAGAGGUGGACAUGGGCCUAGACAAAAAGGUGGGCAUGGGCCCAGACAAAGAGAUGCUCAUCAGAGGAAUGUAAGCAGAAGGCAAUGUACUAUCAUUUCAAAGGAAGUCCGGGCCAUCAUUGUUGACCAUGUGGUUAAAAGAGGCCUUACAAUGGCAGAGGCUGCCAAUUUAGUUCACCCUAACCUCAAAGGUCAACAUCAUCAGAACAUUUCGCCAAGAAAACACAAUUGGCAGGAAACAACCUGGUGGUGGUCACAGAUGUAUACUGACUAACCAGCAAGAGUUGGCUGUGGUGUAAAUGGUCAGGGCAAGGAAUGACGUAAGGCUGUCUGAAAUAAAGCACGUUACUGAGGAGAGCAAUGACACCUUUUCCAAUGUGGCAUCAAUCAGCCUUACAACUAUUGCCCGCCUUUUGAUGAAGCACCAGGUUCCUAUGAAACAAAUUUACCUGGUGCCUUUUGAGAGAAACCCUGCCCAGGUGAAAUGACUGUGCUGAAUAUGUUCAGAGGGUGAUUAAGCUGGAUGCUGCUGUGAAUCACCACAAGUAUAUUUCUGUUGACAAGGCAGGCUUUAAUCUGGCAAGAAAUAGACACUGUGGACAUAACCUUAUUGUCCAGUGGGCAACCAUCCAAGUGCCUGGACAAUGUGGGAAACAUCUCAGUGUGUGCGGCUAUAUGUGAAGAUGGUGUGGGUGGCCUUAGACCAGUUCUUGGAUCAUACAGCACUGAGCACCAGAUAGCUUUUCUAAAUGAACUUGAGCAGGUCUGUCAGGGUGAAGAUAUCAUGUAUGUUACUGUGUGGGACAAUGUCAGCUCCCAUCACACAGAGCUGGUUCCCACCAUACUCCCCUUUCCUCAAGCCAAUUCAGGAAUUCUUCUCUACUCGGAGGUGGAUGGUGUACAAUUGCCAUCCCCAUGAGCAUGUCACCCUCCUUCAAGUCAUGGAUGAGUCUUGCAAUGACAUAACUGCUGAGCAAGGUCAAGCCUGCAUUCGUCAUGCCAGAAGGUUUUUCCCAUGGUGCAUGAAACAACGAGGAUCUUCACUGUGAUGAUGAAAAUUUAUGGCUGUCACGUCCCAAGACGUAAGGGACCUGAAUACGGAAGCAGGUGCAGGUAAAGGAAUUUUAUUAAAGGAGACAAAGGCAGACAAAUCCAAAUCAGUAUUCCAAAGUGUGGUCCAAAAACAUGCAAAAGGUCAGGCGAUUGGCAAACAGGCAUAAAUGGGGCAAAGCAGGAAUCGAAGUCGCGAUCACUGGAAAUGAGGUCAAAACACAAAUCAUGAAACAUGAAAUUAUGACUAGGAACUGGGAGUGUAGAACACCAGCAUGGUCUAAAUGAACUAAUCUAACUUUAAACUAACUAAAUCUAUCCAGGUACGUAACAUUAACUAUCAAC